UCUGGGCAGAGCUGCAGAAGAGGGAGGCAGGGCCUACCGUCUCUGCCACCCUGCCACCUGCCCUGUGUCUUCUGCCCACAG
rnacentral:miRNA from 14 species